CUUGGGCCGACUUCCCUCUCCCUCUCCCUCUCCUCCUCUCUCUCUCUCUGUGGCAAUGUUUGAAAAAACAAGACCGGACGGGCCGGUAGGACCGAUUGGACCAUCAAUCGGACCAAAGUCCGGUCUGGACGAACCACAUAGCCGUUAUAUUUUUAAAACCGGCAUAUUCUAGGAAAAUCGAUAAAAUCGACCGGUUAAACCGGAGAACCGGUCACAGUUUGCCUGACCCAAACCGGUCUGCGAAAAUUUUGAAACUCAAGAGCAGACCACAUGUUAGACAGUUGUUAUGGACAGCAAAGUCUACAGCGUGGACCACAAAAGAUGUAAGGCUAAAUCUUAAGUUGGUUUUCCCACCGAUGUGAACAAUAUAUAACUUCAAUUCCUCCACUUUAACUUCACGAAACAUUGGGAUAAAUUUCUAUUUCAAAUUUUAUUCUCUAUAUACAACCGGUUAUAAUUAAUUUAUAAAAUUAAUUAGUUUAUAUAAUUAUGACAUCACGGUUCUACUCUGGUGGAACCGGUGACCCAUUCACAUGGUACAUUUUCUGGUUCACUCACAGAUCCGAUUUUCAAAACAUUGCUAUUUGAUGCACAAUAGGAGGGAAUGAGAAGGGUUUGGUACUUGUGGAGGGAGGAGGGGUGCUAAGGUGUGGGGCUUAAUUUGGAUGGGCCACAUCGAUUCACGAUAGGUUGAAAAGUAGGGAGUAUUUUGCUAUUUUAGGGUAAUAGGAUACAUAUCUUUGUAUAUACAAGCAUACACCUACUGAUCGUACACAAAUUUCUAUACAAACUCAACUUAUAUUAAAAAUGCUAAUAAAAAAUAAAGAAAUUUUACAUGUAAUUUAUAAUU